rnacentral:rRNA from 1 species
AGAAUCAACGCUGGCGGCGUGCCUAACACAUGCAAGUCGAACGAGAAAGUGGAGCAAUCCAUGAGUAAAGUGGCGCACGGGUGGGUAACACGUGACUAACCUACCCUUGAGUGGGGGAUAACCUAGAGAAAUCUGGGCUAAUACCGCAUAAUACCUUCGGGUCAAAGGAGCAAUUCGCUUAGGGAGGGGGUCGCGGCCGAUUAGUUAGUUGGCGGGGUAAUGGCCCACCAAGACUAUGAUCGGUA